rnacentral:rRNA from 1 species
AUGAACGCUGGCGGCGUGCCUAAUACAUGCCAGUCGAGCGAACAGAUCAGGAGCUUGCUCCUUUGACGUUAGCGGCGGACGGGUGAGUAACACGUGGGUAACCUACCUAUAAGACUGGAAUAACUCCGGGAAACCGGGGCUAAUGCCGGAUAACAUUUAGAACCGCAUGGUUCUAAAGUGAAAGAUGGUUUUGCUAUCACUUAUAGAUGGACCCGCGCCGUAUUAGCUAGUUGGUAAGGUAACGGCUUACCAAGGCAACGAUACGUAGCCGACCUGAGAGGGUGAUCGGCCACACUGGAACUGAGACACGGUCCAGACUCCUACGGGAGGCAGCAGUAGGGAAUCUUCCGCAAUGGGCGAAAGCCUGACGGAGCAACGCCGCGUGAGUGAUGAAGGUCUUCGGAUCGUAAAACUCUGUUAUUAGGGAAGAACAAAUGUGUAAGUAACUGUGCACGUCUUGACGGUACCUAAUCAGAAAGCCACGGCUAACUACGUG